rnacentral:rRNA from 1 species
ACGGGAGGCAGCAGUGGGGAAUAUUGCGCAAUGGGCGAAAGCCUGACGCAGCGACGCCGCGUGAGGGAUGACGGCCUUCGGGUUGUAAACCUCUUUCAGCAGGGACGAAGCGGAAGUGACGGUACCUGCAGAAGAAGCACCGGCCAACUACGUGCCAGCAGCCGCGGUAAUACGUAGGGUGCAAGCGUUGUCCGGAAUUAUUGGGCGUAAAGAGCUCGUAGGCGGUUUGUCGCGUCUGCUGUGAAAACCCGAGGCUCAACCUCGGGCCUGCAGUGGGUACGGGCAGACUAGAGUGCGGUAGGGGAGAUUGGAAUUCCUGGUGUAGCGGUGGAAUGCGCAGAUAUCAGGAGGAACACCGGUGGCGAAGGCGGGUCUCUGGGCAGUAACUGACGCUGAGGAGCGAAAGCAUGGGGAGCGAACAGGAUUAGAUACCCUGGUAGUCCAUGCCGUAAACGUUGGGCACUAGGUGUGGGGGACAUUCCACGUUUUCCGCGCCGUAGCUAACGCAUUAAGUGCCCCGCCUGGGGAGUACGGCCGCAAGGCUAAAACUCAAAG